rnacentral:rRNA from 1 species
ACGCUGGCGGUAGGCUUAACACAUGCAAGUCGAGCGAGAAAGUAUCUUCGGAUAUGAGUAGAGCGGCGGACGGGUGAGUAACGCGUAGGAAUCUACCUAGUAGAAGGGGAUAGCCCGGGGAAACUCGGAUUAAUACCGUAUACCUCCUAAGGGAGAAAGAGGGCCUCUCUUGAUGCUCUCGCUAUUAGAUGAGCCUGCGUAAGAUUAGCUUGUUGGUAAGGUAAUGGCUUACCAAGGCUACGAUCUUUAGCUGGUCUGAGAGGACGAUCAGCCACAUUGGGACUGAGACACGGCCCAGACUCCUACGGGAGGCAGCAGUGGGGAAUAUUGGACAAUGGGCGCAAGCCUGAUCCAGCCAUACCGCGUGUGUGAAGAAGGCCUUCGGGUUGUAAAGCACUUUAAGCAGGGAGAAAAAGUUAUAAGUUAAUACCUUGUAACCGUGAUGUUACCUGCAGAAUAAGCACCGGCUAAUUCCGUGCCAGCAGCCGCGGUAAUACGGAAGGUGCAAGCGUUAAUCGGAAUUACUGGGCGUAAAGCGCGCGUAGGUGGUUUGUUAAGUUGGAUGUGAAAGCCCUGGGCUCAACCUAGGAACUGCAUCCAAAACUAACUCACUAGAGUACGAUAGAGGGAGGUAGAAUUCAUAGUGUAGCGGUGGAAUGCGUAGAUAUUAUGAAGAAUACCAGUGGCGAAGGCGGCCUCCUGGAUCUGUACUGACACUGAGGUGCGAAAGCGUGGGUAGCGAACAGGAUUAGAUACCCUGGUAGUCCACGCCGUAAACGAUGACAACUAGCUGUUGGGAGACAAUGUCUUUCAGUGGCGCAGCUAACGUUUUAAGUUGUCCGCCU